CUAGACUACACAACCUGUCUGUAACUGACCUGUCCUAGACUACACUGUCUGUCUGUCACCACCUAUCUCCUAGUGGAACUGACCUGUCUGUCUGUAACCACCUAUCUCCUAGUGGAACUGACCUGUCCUAGACUACACAACCUGUCUGUCUGUAACCACCUAUCUCCUAGUGGAACUGACCUGUCCUAGACUACACAACCUGUCUGUCUGUAACUGACCUGUCCUAGACUACACAACCUGUCUGUAAGUAACCACCUAUCUCCUAGUGGAACUGACCUGUCCUAGACUACACAACCUGUCUGUAACUGACCUGUCCUAGACUACACAACCUGUCUGUAACCACCUAUCUCCUAGUGGAACUGACCUGUCCUAGACUACACAAUCUGUCUGUAACUGACCUGUCCUAGACUACACAACCUGUCUGUCUGUAACCACAUAUCUCCUAGUGGAACUGACCUGUCCUAGACUACACAACCUGUCUGUAACCAUCUAUCUUCUAGUGUAACUGACCUGUCCUAGACUACACAACCGGUCUGUCUGUAACUGACCUGUCCUAGACUACACAACCUGUCUGUCUGUAACUGACCUGUCCUAGACUACACAACCUGUCUGUCUGUAACCACCUAUGUCCUAGUGGAACUGACCUGUCCUAGACUACACUGUCUGUCUGUCACCACCCACCUCCUAGUGGAACUGACCUGUCCUAGACUACACAACCUGUCUGUAACCAUCUAUCUUCUAGUGUAACUGACCUGUCCUAGACUACACAACCGGUCUGUCUGUAACUGACCUGUCCUAGACUACAUAACCCGUCUGUCUGUAACUGACCUGUCCUAGACUACACAACCUGUCUGUCUGUAACCACCUAUCUCCUAGUGGAACUGACCUGUCCUAGACUACACAACCUGUCUGUCACCAUCUAUCUCCUAGUGUAACUGACCUGUCCUAGACUACACAACCUGUCUGUCUGUAACCACCUAUCUCCUAGUGGAACUGACCUGUCCUAGACUACACAACCUGUCUGUCACCAUCUAUCUCCUAGUGUAACUGACCUGUCCUAGACUACACAACCGGUCUGUCUGUAACUGACCUGUCCUAGACUACAUAACCCGUCUGUCUGUAACUGACCUGUCCUAGACUACACAACCUGUCUGUCUGUAACCACCUAUCUCCUAGUGGAACUGACCUGUCCUAGACUACACAACCUGUCUGUCACCAUCUAUCUCCUAGUGUAACUGACCUGUCCUAGACUACACAACCUGUCUGUCUGUAACCACCUAUCUCCUAGUGGAACUGACCUGUCCUAGACUACACAACCUGUCUGUCACCAUCUAUCUCCUAGUGUAACUGACCUGUCCUAGACUACACAACCUGUCUGUCUGUAACUGACCUGUCCUAGACUACACAACCUGUCUGUCUGUAACUACCUAGUACCCUCCCCUGGACUGGUAUUACAGCUGAGACAGACAGGGGGCCCUUUCUACCUAGUACCCUCCCCUGGACUGGUAUUACAGCUGAGACAGACAGGGGGCCCUUUCUACCUAGUACCCUCCCCUGGACUGGUAUUACAGCUGAGACAGACAGGGGGCCCUUUCUACCUAGUACCCUCCCCUGGACUGGUAUUACAGCUGAGACAGACAGGGGGCCCUUUCUACCUAGUACCCUCCCCUGGACUGGUAUUACAGCUGAGACAGACAGGGGGCCCUUUCUACCUAGUACCCUCCCCUGGACUGGUAUUACAGCUGAGACAGACAGGGGGCCCUUUCUACUCAGGCACAGGGAGGGGCAGCUCAGAACCUUUGUGGUCCUGAGUGAUUCUCUGCAACAACAACUAAAAUGGAUUUAAAAAAGUCCUUCUGUGUUUAGUGGCUGAAAAUGUGGUUUUGUCAGGUCUUCCUCUUCUGAUGCUAUGAUGCCUAGUUCUGUCUGUGUGUAGUCUGGUGCUGUGAGGUUACUAGGCUUCACAGACAACAGUCUGGUGCUGUGAGGUUACUAGGCUUCACAGACAACAGUCUGGUGCUGUGAGGUUACUAGGCUUCACAGACAACAGUCUGGUGCUGUGAGGUUACUAGGCUUCACAGACAACAGUCUGGUGCGGUGAGGUUACUAGGCUUCACAGACAACAGUCUGGUGCUGUGUGGUUACUAGGCUUCACAGACAACAGUCUGGUGCUGUGUGGUUACUAGGCUUCACAGACAACAGUCUGGUGCUGUGAGGUUACUAGGCUUCACAGACAACAGUCUGGUGCUGUGUGGUUACUAGGCUUCACAGACAACAGUCUGGUGCUGUGUGGUUACUAGGCUUCACAGACAACAGUCUGGUGCUGUGAGGUUACUAGGCUUCACAGACAACAGUCUGGUGCUGUGAGGUUACUAGGCUUCACAGACAACAGUCUGGUGCUGUGUGGUUACUAGGCUUCACAGACAACAGUCUGGUGCUGUGUGGUUACUAGGCUUCACAGACAACAGUCUGGUGCUGUGAGGUUACUAGGCUUCACAGACAACAGUCUGGUGCUGUGUGGUUACUAGGCUUCACAGACAACAGUCUGGUGCUGUGAGGUUACUAGGCUUCACAGACAACAGUCUGGUGCUGUGAGGUUACUAGGCUUCACAGACAACAGUCUGGUGCUGUGUGGUUACUAGGCUUCACAGACAACAGUCUGGUGCUGUGAGCUUACUAGGCUUCACAGACAACAGUCUGGUGCUGUGAGGUUACGCUUCACAGACAACAGUCUGGUGCUGUGAGGUUACUAGGCUUCACAGACAACAUUAUGACACUCCUUCCUGUCUGAAAGCGACCCCAUGUUCAGAAUUAUAUUUGUAUUAUUCUCACUCUAGUCUUUAUUUACACAUUUAAUAUUUCUUGGGGGCUGCUUGUGUCUGGAUGGUGUGCUAACCUGUUUGACAUUAUAAUAAUGUAAUAUAAUUUAUAUCGUUUGUAUUAUUCUAA